rnacentral:tRNA from 1 species
GUGGGUGUGGCUCAGCUGUGGAGCGCAUGCUUAGCACGCACGAGGUCCUGGGUUCAAGCCCCAGUACCUCCA